rnacentral:rRNA from 1 species
GACGAACGCUGGCGGCGUGCUUAACACAUGCGAGUCGAACGGUGAUGCUCCAGCUUGCUGGAGUGGAUCAGUGGCGAACGGGUGAGUAACACGUGAGCAACCUGCCCCAGACUCUGGAAUAAGCGCUGGAAACGGCGUCUAAUACUGGAUACGAAACUGGCCCGCAUGGGCAUGGUUUGGAAAGUUUUUCGGUUUGGGAUGGGCUCGCGGCCUAUCAGCUUGUUGGUGAGGUAAUGGCUCACCAAGGCGACGACGGGUAGCCGGCCUGAGAGGGCGACCGGCCACACUGGGACUGAGAGACGGCCCAGACUCCUACGGGAGGCAGCAGUGGGGAAUAUUGCACAAUGGGCGAAAGCCUGAUGCAGCGACGCCGCGUGAGGGAUGACGGCCUUCGGGUUGUAAACCUCUUUCAGCAGGGAAGAAGCGAAAGUGACGGUACCUGCAGAAGAAGCACCGGCUAACUACGUG